GACGAACGCUGGCGGCGUGCUUAACACAUGCAAGUCGAACGGAAAGGCCCUGCUUGCAGGGUACUCGAGUGGCGAACGGGCGAGUAACACGUGGGUGAUCUGCCCUGCACUUCGGGAUAAGCCUGGGAAACUGGGUCUAUUACCGGAUAGGAGCCAUUUUUAGUGUGAUGGUUGGAAAGUUUUUUCGGUGUGGGAUGAGCUCGCGGCCUAUCAGCUUGUUGGUGGGGUAAUGGCCUACCAAGGCGGCGACGGGUAGCCGGCCUGAGAGGGUGGACGGCCACAUUGGGACUGAGAUACGGCCCAGACUCCUACGGGAGGCAGCAGUGGGGAAUAUUGCACAAUGGGCGCAAGCCUGAUGCAGCGACGCCGCGUGGGGGAUGACGGCCUUCGGGUUGUAAACUCCUUUCGCUAGGGACGAAGCUUUUGUGACGGUACCUAGAUAAGAAGCACCGGCUAACUACGUG
rnacentral:rRNA from 1 species